rnacentral:rRNA from 1 species
UACAGAGGGUGCAAGCGUUAAUCGGAAUUACUGGGCGUAAAGCGUGCGUAGACGGUUACAUAAGUCGGGUGUGAAAGCCCCGGGCUCAACCUGGGAAUGGCAUUUGGGACUGCAAGGCUUGAGUGCGGCAGAGGAGACUGGAAUUCCUGGUGUAGCAGUGAAAUGCGUAGAUAUCAGGAGGAAUACCGAUGGCGAAGGCAGGUCUCUGGGCUGACACUGACGCUCAUGCACGAAAGCGUGGGGAGCAAACAGG